UUUCCGUAGGUGAACCUGCGGAAGGAUCAUUAUUGUAUAACCGAGGUGCGAGGGCUGUUGCUGACCCGAAAGGUCGUGCACGCCCGAGUGCCCUCACUCACAUCCAUCUCACCCCUAUGUGCACCACCGCGUGGGUCCCCCUUUGGCUUGUUCGGAGGGGGGCUUACGUUUUCACACAAACUUUGUAUGCAGUGUAGAAUGUAUUUUUUGUUUUUGCGAUCACGCAAUCAAUACAACUUUCAACAACGGAUCUCUUGGCUCUC
rnacentral:misc_RNA from 1 species